CUUCUUUUUUUUUUUUUUUUCUGAAAAGAGAAAAACUCCAACACACAAAGAGCUGAGCAUGUGCAGGAGGCAAAAGUCUUAAAGGCACCGCAGUUCCACCACGUUGUGGGGUCCGCAAGAACUGGGAGGGGCGGGGGUUAGGGCAGCGAGGGUAGGGGAACCGUCUCCGCGGAGGGACCUCUCCAAGGGGGAGCUGUGUCUUCCACCGAAAUAAUGACUCCCCCGCCCCCAACAAAGAGCUGAGAGGUUCAGAACCCCCGGCGCGCCACCCCUUGCCGACGCUGCCUCGAAAACCCAGGCUAUUUGAACCCUUGGGAAAGGAAGCCGAACACAAAUUGCAGCCAUGUAUACUCAAGUUUCAAAAAGGUUACUGGAGCAGACAGUAUGAAAAAGAAUUUGAAAUCUACCAAAGGCAUCUCUGACAGCUAAAGGAGAAAAGUUUUAGUUGUAACCACACAGUCAUAAUAUUAUUGUUAACAUUCAACUCUUGUUUAUUUUGGACCUAAUGUACCCACGUCAUCUCUUUUAAUCUCUAUCAUCCCCACUUUGCAGAUGAAAUCCUCCAUUAACCCCAUUUUGCAGAUGAAGAUAGACUCAACAAGGAUGAAAGGUUUUGUCAAUGGCAAGUUAGAAGUAAGCAGUGAACUGAGCUUUAAACACAAGCCCUCUGAUUUCCAUGCUUUUUCCACAAUUUACCAGGCUGUUUCUAUUAGCAGAUGCUUUGUUCUGCUUUGGUGAAUAAAAUUUAAGUGUUGGCUUGAUUUGUAAAUGCCUCAGCAGUGAUUUUAGAAAAACAAAGGUUCAUAAGGAGGUGGCUCCUUAGAAAGUAAAAAUAAAAAGGAAAAUGAUUAUUUUUAUUUAUAUAACAAAUCACAAUUCUCCCAUAAUACCAAUAUCGAAAAUGUCAACUUCAAACCUUAAAAAUUAGAAUAAUCCCUUCUUCCUUUCACAUAUUUUCUAUAGCAGGAUGCUCCUUAGAGACCACUUGGGAUAGGAGAAGAAGAGAAGGAGAAUGUACUGCAAAAAGAAAAGAAAAUUUUAAAAGAGAAUAUUGUUCUGGACCAAACCUUUUAAUUUCCAUGGCUAUAAAAUCUAAAAAAAAAAAAAAAAAAAAAAAAA